rnacentral:rRNA from 1 species
AGUGAACGCUGGCGGCAGGCCUAACACAUGCAAGUCGAGCGGCAGCGCGGGGCAACCUGGCGGCGAGCGGCGGACGGGUGAGGAAUACGUCGGAAUCUGCCUUUUUGUGGGGGAUAACGUAGGGAAACUUACGCUAAUACCGCAUACGACCUACGGGUGAAAGUGGGGGACCGCAAGGCCUCACGCAGAAAGAUGAGCCGACGGCCGAUUAGCUAGUUGGCGAGGUAAUGGCUCACCAAGGCGACGAUCGGUAGCUGGUCUGAGAGGAUGAUCAGCCACACUGGGACUGAGACACGGCCCAGAUUCCUACGGGAGGCAGCAGUGGGGAAUAUUGGACAAUGGGCGCAAGCCUGAUCCAGCCAUGCCGCGUGUGUGAAGAAGGCCUUCGGGUUGUAAAGCACUUUUGUCCGGAAAGAAAUCCUGAAGAUUAAUACUCUUUGGGGAUGACGGUACCGGAAGAAUAAGCACCGGCUAACUUCGUGCCAGCCGCCGCCGUAA